CUGUGACGUAAUUUGAAUGGGAAACCACUAGCAGCGCUCACGGACUUUUGGAGUAGUGCGCAUGCGCGUCAUUUUGAACUGUAACGGUCGUCAGUCAACCGGGAGUUCUCGGAGUAAAAGCUGUAGAGUGUUUGGGAGACCGUGCUGCCUGCUGUUGUCGAUCGAUGAUGUUCCUGUCACUGAUAGUGGAGCCUGUAACUAGCAGAAGCAGAGACGGUUUGUGCAACAGCAACAAGGUGCAGGUCCAAACCCAUCUGUCAAAAGACGCUUGUCCACUUGCUGUCUGCCCCACCAGCCCAACAAUUGUGCUGGAGAACCACAAGUCAUAGAAAAAGAGAAUGACAUAAUCAACUGGAACAGCAUGAGGUGGUAGAGACAGAGAAGAAGUGCCCUUGAUGAGGAAACCCUGGCAGAAAUUCUCUCAGGUGUUACUCGUGCUUACCUGAUUCGACGGGUUCCUGUAAAGCAAAAGUGGAGACAUGCCCAGUUGGAUAUUCUAAAUGUGCGAGGAGUGUACUGGAACAAACAGUUGGUUCCUCUAAGGUGUUCUUCACAUCUAAAGUGUGUGCAGAUAAGUGUGUACCAGGGAUCCAUCAGAUAGCUGAAGGGACGUUGUCUCUCCACUGCUGUGACACUGACCUUUGCAAUGCAGCAGAUGGAGUGUUUAAGGGAAGCUUCCUCCUGCUCUUCUCUCCUCUGCUCUUCUACUUCCUGUUUCAGAGAGUCCAGAUUCAAGAUUUCAGAUUCUACAGUGAAGAUCAGCACAAAAACUGAAUAUGAGACACAAUUGAUUUAAUUUACUGAAUACAGCUUGUUUGUUGUUCUGCUGUUCUUUGGUUUAAGGAACUAAAAAAAUUGUAUUUACUGCAUCAGCACUAACAGAUGUAUAAAUGUAUAAAAGUUAUUAUAGAAUGUAAUAAAGAAUUAAGGAAACAGAGUGUGCUAAACUGCUGUAAUAAAAUAUUUAUGUAUUAGCCUACA